UACGUAGGGACCGAGCGUUGUCCGGAAUUAUUGGGCGUAAAGAGCUCGUAGGCGGUCUGUCGCGUCUGCUGUGAAAACUCGGGGCUUAACCCCGGGCCUGCAGUGGGUACGGGCAGACUAGAGUGCGGUAGGGGAGACUGGAAUUCCUGGUGUAGCGGUGAAAUGCGCAGAUAUCAGGAGGAACACCGGUGGCGAAGGCGGGUCUCUGGGCCGUAACUGACGCUGAGGAGCGAAAGCGUGGGGAGCGAACAGG
rnacentral:rRNA from 1 species